rnacentral:rRNA from 1 species
GAUGAACGCUAGCGGCAGGCUUAAUACAUGCAAGUCGUGGGGCAGCAGGUUUGUAGCAAUACAGAUGCUGGCGACCGGCAAACGGGUGCGGAACACGUACAGAACCUUCCUUUGAGCGGGGAAUAGCCCAGAGAAAUUUGGAUUAAUACCCCAUAGUAUAAUGAAGUGGCAUCACUUUAUUAUUAAAGAUUUAUCACUCGAAGAUGGCUGUGCGGCUGAUUAGGUAGUUGGCGGGUAAAGGCCCACCAAGCCUGCGAUCAGUAACUGGUGUGAGAGCACGACCAGUCACACGGGCACUGAGACACGGGCCCGACUCCUACGGGAGGCAGCAGUAAGGAAUAUUGGUCAAUGGAGGCAACUCUGAACCAGCCAUGCCGCGUGGAGGAUGAAGGUCCUCUGGAUUGUAAACUUCUUUUAUAUGGGACGAAAAAAGGCUUUUCCAAGUCGUCUGACGGUACCAUAUGAAUAAGCACCGGCUAACUCCGUGCCAGCAGCCGCGGUAA